rnacentral:misc_RNA from 1 species
AACGCACGAGACCUGCGGACCUGCGGAGGGAUCAUUAACGAGUUAGGGUCUUCCAGGCCCGACCUCCCAACCCAAUGUUUACUACACCGUUUGUUGCUUCGGCGAGCCCGUCCUCACGGACCGCCGGGGGACCGUCAUAGGUCUCCUGGCCCGCGCCCGUCGGUAGCCUCUAAAACUCUUUAACCAAACAUGUUUUGACUAAGUACCAAUUGUUAAUUAAAAACAAAACUUUUAACAAUG